GGCCAGCAGCCGCGGUAAUACAGAGGGGGCAAGCGUUAUUCGGAAUUAUUGGGCGUAAAGGGCGCGUAGGCGGCCGUUCAAGUGGCGGGUGAAAUCCCUCGGCUUAACCGAGGAACUGCCUGCCAGACUGGAUGGCUUGAGACCGGGAGAGGUGAGUGGAAUUCCCAGUGUAGCGGUGAAAUGCGUAGAUAUUGGGAGGAACACCAGUGGCGAAGGCGGCUCACUGGACCGGAACUGACGCUGAGGCGCGAAAGCGUGGGGAGCAAACAGGAUUAGAUACCCUGGUAGUCCACGCCGUAAACGAUGAGUGCUUGGUGUAGCGGGUAUCGACCCCUGCUGUGCCGAAGUCAACACAUUAAGCACUCCGCCUGGGGAGUACGGUCGCAAGACUGAAACUCAAAGGAAUUGACGGGGGCCCGCACA
rnacentral:rRNA from 1 species